GAUGAACGCUAGCUACAGGCUUAACACAUGCAAGUCGAGGGGCAGCACGGAGAUAGCUUGCUAUCUUGGGUGGCGACCGGCGCACGGGUGAGUAACGCGUAUCCAACCUGCCCAUUACUCAGGGAUAGCCUUGCGAAAGUAAGAUUAAUAUCUGAUGUUGUUAAAAACCCGCAUGAGUUUUUAACCAAAGAUUUAUUGGUAAUGGAUGGGGAUGCGUGACAUUAGGUAGUAGGUGAGGUAACGGCUCACCUAGCCGACGAUGUCUAGGGGUUCUGAGAGGAAGGUCCCCCCANACUGGAACUGAGACACGGUCCAGACUCCUACGGGGAGCAGCAGUGAGGAAUAUUGGUCAAUGGACGAGAGUCUGAACCAGCCAAGUAGCGUGCAGGAUGGA
rnacentral:rRNA from 1 species